ensembl:lncRNA
GAAGGGGUUCCCUCUCCAAGACAUCAAAAGGGUCUCAAGGAAAGGAAGAUACAAGGAAGUGUUGCCCUGAAAAUUCCCCAGAUGAGGCUCAUUUGACAAUCUAAAACUGGUUUUGCACACAGGCAUACCAGCAACAUCAGGGGGUAGGGGAGAGUUGACCAAGGCCAAGGUUUAUACCCUGCUGAAGAGUCAUAAAGAUGUUCGCUGAGAGCAGGAGGACAAUGCACUGAUGAAAUAAAAACUCACAUUUUAAGGAAAGACAAGAAAAAAUUAAACAUAAAACUAUUUCUCCGCAGGUUUGGGCCUCCUCUUCCCUCCCCAGAGUGUGCACGGUGCAUCUGCAUUUAGUGUGACCCACAUCUUCCCCAUGGCCACCUCCUGGCAGCAGCUACAUAACUUCUCCAGGGGAUCUUCCCAACCCAGGGAUCAAACCCAUGUCUCCUGCAUUGGCAGGCGGAUUCUUUUACCAAUUGACUGUUGAUCACUUUUUGUUGACACUUAUAAGAACAAUGCAUGAACAGAGCAAGAAUCUCAACAAAGAAAAAGAAAGUGUAAGAAACUACCAAACAGAAAUCACAGAGCUGAAGAAUAUAAUGACUGAACUGAAAAAUACAAUAAAGGAGUUCAACAAUAGAUUCAACGAAGCACCAGAAAAGAUCAGUAAACUCUAAGACAGGGACAGCAGUGGAACUCAUCCAAUCAGAGCAGCUAACAGAAAAAGGAAUUUAAAAACAGUGAAGAGAGUUUAAAGGACUUGUGGUAAAACAUCAAGUAGAUCAAUAUUUACAUUAUAGGCAUCCCAGAAGGAGAAGAAAGAAAGGGGUAAAAGACUUAUUUGGAGAAAUAAUGGCUGAAAACUUCCUAACCUGAGGAAGAAAACAGAAGUUCAGAUCCAGAAAGCCCAGAGACUUCCAAAUAAACCCAAGGGAACCCACACCAAGAUACAUUAUAAUUAAAUUGUCAAAAGAGAAAGAACGGUUACAAGGCAAUAUUUAGAAAAGUGAGCAGGGAGAAAAGAAAUUCAAUAGCUUAACAUCUGGACAUUUAAACUGUUGGAGGUUUUGAAUUAUCCACGUUACCCUUACUUUGCUGAUUAUUCUUCAGCUAUUUCCAGUGUGUCCCAAAUUGGAGGCAAAAUAUCCCUAUUUAUUUAGAAACUGUCUAAUCCUUGAGCAACUCUAUUUUUUUUUUUUUUUUUUGCAAUAUACUGGUUAGGUCAACACUCCAUAUACUAUGAAGCCAAAGCAUUUCAAAAUUAACAGGCUUAAAAAAUUGCCUGAGCAGUUGGGCUGGGGAGGGAUGCUGGGGGAGUAAAACAAAGAAUGGCCAUUUGAAAUAACCAUCCAAGACUGAGGUCAAAGGGAAGCAGAGAGAUUUUAGGUUCAGCAUAAAUUUGUAUUUCAGAGUAUCACACACAGAGUACAAACACACAUGGCAUUUAUCAGCUUCCCCCAUCCCAGGUUAUAUUCAAUUUUAAACUUCACAAUUUAAAAAGCAGCUACAUCUGUCGAUACAAAAUAUAUACACUUGACUGUACACUGAGUUGGCAAGGAGGUACCACUAAUUUUG